GACAGAAGAAAGAAAGGAGAAAGUCCCCAUCAGAUGCCGAGUAUCAGCCUCCCAGGCAGCCAGGCUUCAAAGACAGACCUGGAGUGAUAAGGUGCCCUUGUUUACCGGCAGACAGGAUCAGGCUGUACCUGCUGCAGCGAAAAAACAGCACACACGCACGCUGGCCUCCAGCCAGCACCCCCGAAUCAAAACAGCACAGCGCAUCGGGCUGCAUGCAAAUACACAUACACACAUACACACAUAACACCGGCAAUAACCGACCUAUACCGACUGACACGACUGUCGCGCCUGAUAUACUGCACACUCACCACACCCCAAAUGUGCCAUUUCAAUUUGAUUAAUGAGUGUCAAUCGAUGGUGUAUUGUCUUUUUGGUUAAUAAGCCACAAUCUGGCUUGCAUAAUAAAGCUAGUAAUGUCAUUUGUUAUGAAUUAAGCAGGUGAAACACUUCAACUGGCAUCCGUUAAUGCCAUAGACUGGUAUAAUUGAGAGGGCAGAAGUAACAAAAGGCAAGAGUUAACACUCACACGCAACUGAGAUACUAUAAAUGCUCAGGAGUGCACACAGAGUCAUGCACUGCACUCUCAUAAAGCUGUCAACAGCAACGACGAGUCACACCUGCACUCAUAACAAACACACUGUCAAGCAAUUAGCAAUGUUUAAAAAAAUGACAAAGCAUAGCCCUGGGUCACAACUACUUGUGUGUUUACUGUAUAUGACUCGAACUCAUAUACAGUGAAUAACCUUCUUCCGUGAUGAAUUAAUUAUGCAUUGCAUGUGUGUCUAUCUGAGAUUUCAACAGACAAGCAAAAUGUUGUCACAAAGCUAGACACAAAGCUUGAGAAAUGCCUGGGAAAGGGGCUGCACAGGAGGACCUCGGCUCUGGCUCCUUUCUGAAACCCGAUCCAGGCCCAGCCAAUUGGAAAGCUAACACAUCACCAUUUAAGGCAGCUCACGCAGGCCAAGCAGCCGUGAAUACUCAGCUACCAACUGCACACAUGUGCCAGUGCUCAAGCUAUAUUUGUAUGCAGGCUUUAUGAAGGGCUGCAACAGAAGUAAGACAAGUGUUGCACCCUGUUUUGACACUAUAAAGAAAUCCAGGUUAUAAGACUGGAUAGGAUUUUUAUUACAGCUGAUGAGCUCAAUGUACACAUCCAUUAAAGUUCUUCUCUCUGAGGAUUGGACAGACAAAGAGAGGAGUGUGUCAGCAUGAGAGGGAAAGCACUUCACUGACGAUCACUUCAACAAGGAUCUAAAAGACAUUAAGUGUUCAGAGCCCUGGGAGCAUGCUGCUUUAACAGGCUGAGGAAUGGAUUCAUUUCAUCUAAUGUGGUUUGGUCUGCAGCAGAGCCACUCACCCUGAGCAAGAGGCUCCCCACUGCAGUCAUGUGUUUUCAUACAAGCCAAUCAACACGGCUGCACCAGCCUGGCCUCUUUCCCUCCCACAAUCUCUCUCUCUCUCUCUCUCGCUCCCUCUCCCCUCCCUCCAUCUCUCCAUCCCUUUGACUCACUCUACCUUCCCCAUUCUUCCUCUCUCGCCCACCCCCUCCUUUUCUCCCACCUUUCUCUUUCACUCUUUCCAUCUGCCAUUGGCUCUCUAUUUCACACUGUCCAGCAGCUGACUUUCCUCCACAUCUACCUCCUUUUAAAUAAAUCGACUUCUA